rnacentral:tRNA from 1 species
GCCUGGCUGGCUCAGUCUGUAGAGCAUGGGACUCUUGAUCUCGGGGUUCUGAGUUCAAGCCCCAUGUUGGGCU